UUGCUCUAUGGUUCAAUGGUAGAAUAGCGCACUGUUAAUGCGAUGGUUGCUGGUUCGAGUCCAGCUAGAGCAGU
rnacentral:tRNA from 1 species